AUUGAACGCUGGCGGCAUGCUUUACACAUGCAAGUCGAACGGCAGCGCGGGCUUCGGCCUGGCGGCGAGUGGCGAACGGGUGAGUAAUACAUCGGAACGUGCCCAGUAGUGGGGGAUAGCUCGGCGAAAGCAGGAUUAAUACCGCAUACGACCUGAGGGUGAAAGCGGGGGAUCUUCGGACCUCGCGCUAUGGGAGCGGCCGAUGCGAGAUUAGCUAGUUGGUGGGGUAAAGGCCUACCAAGGCGACGAUCUGUAGCUGGUCUGAGAGGACGAGCAGCCACACUGGGACUGAGACACGGCCCAGACUCCUACGGGAGGCAGCAGUGGGGAAUUUUGGACAAUGGGCGAAAGCCUGAUCCAGCAAUGCCGCGUGUGUGAUGAAGGCCUUCGGGUUGUAAAGCACUUUUGGCGGGAACGAAAAGGACUGUGCCAAUACCACGGUUCGAUGACGGUACCCGCAGAAUAAGCACCGGCUAACUACGUG
rnacentral:rRNA from 1 species